GAAGAAGAAAACUCCUUGACGCUGGGGCAAUCAACGACGAGUUUGUACGCGGUGCCGUGUUCAAAACCGCAAAAUUGGAGUCCUAGCCAGCCAAUCAAAGGAUGCCCGGGAUAAACAUAGAUCUCGGGUUUCAUCAAAGAGGCUGAUGAGUCGCGCGCGAACGCGCCUCCACUUGGAAGCCCGGCUUAUUAAUGUUCAUUCGUCAGCCGGUUAAUGAAGGUGCCUCUUGAAGACGGUGUACGCCGUCUAACCCAGAAGAUCAUCAAAGCGUUCACGGAAUAAUGAAAUGGUGUCGAGUCACGCUCGAGCUGGUCCGUGCCGAUUAGUUCGUGCCUCUUUAUCGAUAACACUCUCAUUGCCUAAUUGCAAGAGAAUCCUCAACGUUCACGUGGCUGGUGAAUGCCAUGGAAGGCAAUAAAAUACGAUGUAGAUCGACCAAUCAGAUCUCUACAACGGACAGUGCCAAAUAGUAAAAGAGGAUCACUCGGUUUAAGAAUAAUUUGUCAUAUUCAUAGCAAAGCAGAUAGGGACGAACGUGUCAUGCAAAUGCUACAAUGAGAAACGAAGGAUUAACGUUAAAACUGGCGCGAGUAACUAUUGUCCUAAUAAGAAGAUGGCGCAAGGAUAUUGGCAAUAUCCUCUCGAAUUACGUAUGCAGCUGUCUGUUUCGAAGUCAAUCGAUCCCAGCGGCGAAGACUCGAAUCUUGAUCAGGCCCUGUCCGCCCGCUGAAUUAGACAUCGGACUUUUUCUCGCCAUGCGUCGAACAUGCGAGCUUAAUUAAACAGACGUUGGAUGGCCAACGUGAACAGAAACUUUAAUCGGCUUGUAAACUGCACAACUUAUGGAAAACAAGCUAUUCGAAUUUUCGACCUGUAAGGACAAGGGAGACACAUUGCGGUGAAACACAAGAGGAAGGUCACGUGCUAAGGACAGCAAUGCACGUUCAUCGCGACCACCUGGCAAAUUACAACAAAUUACAAAAACAGUAGUUUUAGCAAACACAUGAACGAUAGUUGAAUUAUUCUGUAAAGCGGAUCGCCAGUAACCGUGGAUACCCUGGAUAUUGAGAGCACAAAGACAAUUUUUGUGCUGUUACUGUAUGAACUGUAUGAACUAAUUUCAUCUCAGCUAACCAAACAAUCAUCCAUUAAAAUCACAAACAUAGCUGUUGAGGUUAACUGAAAGAAGAAUGGAUGAAUUUGUAAUAGCAAAUAUAUUGAAGUAAGUGUAAGUACAAAUAUAGUGUAUGACGUCAAAAUUAAAUAAAUUAUUGUCAUUAUUAAUUAAUUGAAAUUGUGAUAUUGUUGAGGUUAACUGAUAGAGGAACCAGUGGAUGAAUUUGUA